rnacentral:rRNA from 1 species
UACGAAGGGGGCUAGCGUUGCUCGGAAUCACUGGGCGUAAAGGGUGCGUAGGUGGCGAGGUAAGUCGGAUGUGAAAGCUCGGAGCUCAACUCCGAAAUGGCAUUGGAAACUACCUUGCUCGAGGGUUGGAGGGGGGACUGGAAUUCUCGGUGUAGCAGUGAAAUGCGUAGAUAUCGAGAGGAACACCAGUGGCGAAGGCGAGUCCCUGGACAACUCCUGACACUGAGGCACGAAAGCUAGGGGAGCAAACAGG